AUUAUACAUAGCUUAUCAUUAUUAUAAUUUCUUUUAUAUUUAGCUCCUUAAAAAAAAAAUUAUAAAUAAUUCUAACAAAUUUAUAUUUGCAUAUAUCUUCUUGCUACGCUAGUGCCAUGUUAGCAAUUCUAUGUUGAAUACAGUGAUUGAAUCACCGUAUACAUAUUUACAUUUUAGUCUUUUUUUAACUUACAAGUAAUAAAAAAUACAAAAUAAAUACGAUAAUUCAAUCAUCAUAUUUAAAUAUGGUGAUUGAAUCACAAAUAUAUAUUUUUUAGGACUAAUUAAAA
rnacentral:lncRNA from 1 species